rnacentral:rRNA from 1 species
UACGUAGGGUGCAAGCGUUGUCCGGAAUUAUUGGGCGUAAAGAGCUCGUAGGCGGUCUGUCGCGUCUGCUGUGAAAACUCGGGGCUUAACCCUGAGCUUGCAGUGGGUACGGGCAGACUAGAGGUAUGCAGGGGGAGAACGGAAUUCCUGGUGUAGCGGUGGAAUGCGCAGAUAUCAGGAGGAACACCGGUGGCGAAGGCGGGACUCUGGGCCGAUACUGACGCUGAGGAGCGAAAGCGUGGGGAGCAAACAGG